UACGAAGGGGGCUAGCGUUGUUCGGAAUUACUGGGCGUAAAGCGCGCGCAGGCGGUUUUUCAAGUCAGUGGUGAAAGCCCGGAGCUCAACUCCGGAACUGCCAUUGAAACUGUAAAACUUGAGGACGAGAGAGGUGAGUGGAAUUCCCAGUGUAGAGGUGAAAUUCGUAGAUAUUGGGAAGAACACCGGUGGCGAAGGCGGCUCACUGGCUCGUUUCUGACGCUCAGGCGCGACAGCGUGGGGAUCAAACAGG
rnacentral:rRNA from 2 species